CGCGGAGUGGAGCAGUUCGGUAGCUCGUCGGGCUCAUAACCCGAAGGUCGUGGGUUCAAAUCCCUCCUCCGCAACCA
rnacentral:tRNA from 3 species